rnacentral:rRNA from 1 species
UACGGGGGGGGCAAGCGUUGUUCGGAAUUACUGGGCGUAAAGGGUCCGUAGGUGGCUCGCUAAGUCAGACGUGAAAUCCCUCGGCUUAACCGGGGAACUGCAUCUGAUACUGGAUGGCUUGAGUUCGGGAGAGGGAUGCGGAAUUCCAGGUGUAGCGGUGAAAUGCGUAGAUAUCUGGAGGAACACCGGUGGCGAAGGCGGCAGCCUGGACCGAUAUUGACGCUGAGGCGCGAAAGCCAGGGGAGCAAACGGG